AGAGUUUGAUCCUGGCUCAGGAUGAACGCUAGCUACAGGCUUAACACAUGCAAGUCGAGGGGCAUCAGGAAGAAAGCUUGCUUUCUUUGCCGGCGACCGGCGCACGGGUGAGUAACACGUAUCCAACCUGCCCUUUACUCGGGGAUAGCCUUUCGAAAGAAAGAUUAAUACCCGAUGGCAUAAUGAUUCCGCAUGGUUUCAUUAUUAAAGGAUUCCGGUAAAGGAUGGGGAUGCGUUCCAUUAGGUUGUUGGUGAGGUAACGGCUCACCAAGCCUUCGAUGGAUAGGGGUUCUGAGAGGAAGGUCCCCCACAUUGGAACUGAGACACGGUCCAAACUCCUACGGGAGGCAGCAGUGAGGAAUAUUGGUCAAUGGGCGCUAGCCUGAACCAGCCAAGUAGCGUGAAGGAUGAAGGCUCUAUGGGUCGUAAACUUCUUUUAUAUAAGAAUAAAGUGCAGUAUGUAUACUGUUUUGUAUGUAUUAUAUGAAUAAGGAUCGGCUAACUCCGUGCCAGCAGCCGCGGUAAUACGGAGGAUCCGAGCGUUAUCCGGAUUUAUUGGGUUUAAAGGGAGCGUAGGUGGACUGGUAAGUCAGUUGUGAAAGUUUGCGGCUCAACCGUAAAAUUGCAGUUGAUACUGUCAGUCUUGAGUACAGUAGAGGUGGGCGGAAUUCGUGGUGUAGCGGUGAAAUGCUUAGAUAUCACGAAGAACUCCGAUUGCGAAGGCAGCUCACUGGACUGCAACUGACACUGAUGCUCGAAAGUGUGGGUAUCAAACAGGAUUAGAUACCCUGGUAGUCCACACAGUAAACGAUGAAUACUCGCUGUUUGCGAUAUACAGUAAGCGGCCAAGCGAAAGCAUUAAGUAUUCCACCUGGGGAGUACGCCGGCAACGGUGAAACUCAAAGGAAUUGACGGGGGCCCGCACAAGCGGAGGAACAUGUGGUUUAA
rnacentral:rRNA from 1 species